rnacentral:tRNA from 1 species
GCCACUUUAGCUCAGUCGGUAGAGCAACAGUUUCGUAAAUUGUAGGUCGCGGGUUCGAGUCCCGCAGGUGGCU